rnacentral:tRNA from 1 species
GGCCGAGUAGCAAAAUGGUCAUGCAGCGGAUUGCAAAUCCGUUUAUGCCGGUUCGAUUCCGGCCUCGGCCUCCA